rnacentral:tRNA from 1 species
GGUAAAAUGGCUGAAGAUUAGGCGAUAAAUUGUAAAUUUAUUAAUGGGAAUAAAUCUCUUUUACCA